rnacentral:ncRNA from 2 species
AUUAAUCUUCGGGGUAGGGUGAAAUUCCCGAUCGGCAGUAUAGUCUGCGAGCGUGAGCUGAUUUGGUGCAAUUCCAAAACCGACAGUUAUAGUCUGGAUGGUAGAAGAUAAAA